GAUUUACUUCGGUAAUGACGUUGGGAAAGCGAGCGGCGGAUGGGUGAGUAACACGUGGGGAACCUGCCCCUAAGUCUGGGAUACCAUUUGGAAACAGGUGCUAAUACCGGAUAAUAAAGCAGAUCGCAUGAUCAGCUUUUGAAAGGCGGCGUAAGCUGUCGCUAAGGGAUGGCCCCGCGGUGCAUUAGCUAGUUGGUAAGGUAACGGCUUACCAAGGCGACGAUGCAUAGCCGAGUUGAGAGACUGAUCGGCCACAUUGGGACUGAGACACGGCCCAAACUCCUACGGGAGGCAGCAGUAGGGAAUCUUCCACAAUGGACGCAAGUCUGAUGGAGCAACGCCGCGUGAGUGAAGAAGGUUUUCGGAUCGUAAAGCUCUGUUGUUGGUGAAGAAGGAUAGAGGUAGUAACUGGCCUUUAUUUGACGGUAAUCAACCAGAAAGUCACGGCUAACUACGUGCCAGCAGCCGCGGUAAUACGUAGGUGGCAAGCGUUGUCCGGAUUUAUUGGGCGUAAAGCGAGCGCAGGCGGAAAAAUAAGUCUAAUGUGAAAGCCCUCGGCUUAACCGAGGAACUGCAUCGGAAACUGUUUUUCUUGAGUGCAGAAGAGGAGAGUGGAACUCCAUGUGUAGCGGUGGAAUGCGUAGAUAUAUGGAAGAACACCAGUGGCGAAGGCGGCUCUCUGGUCUGCAACUGACGCUGAGGCUCGAAAGCAUGGGUAGCGAACAGGAUUAGAUACCCUGGUAGUCCAUGCCGUANACGAUGAGUGCUAAGUGUUGGGAGGUUUCCGCCUCUCAGUGCUGCAGCUAACGCAUUAAGCACUC
rnacentral:rRNA from 1 species